GUUUUUCUAGGAUCCACUCUAUAAAUACUUGUCUCUCCCUCAUUUUUACUAUUUUACUUAUUACUCUCUCAAACUCUCUUUUCACUUCUUUGAAUUUCCUCUCUUUUGGAGCACUUUACCUUCUUUCCCAAUCUUCAACAAGGACAAUUCACAGGUAAUCGAUCUGCUCUACUUGUCGGAAUUUCCUUCUCUUUUGUUUGUUUAUGAGUAUAUAAGUGACAUUGAUUCCUUCUACUUCUUUUUUGUGCGUUAUCGAGGCCAGCUCGGCUCUCACCGCAACUUUACUAAAAUUUCGUUUAGCUCUGCUCCAUGCACGCAAUAACUUGACAAUGUCAAUGUCAUGAUGUAGAGAUCGUUUAGCAUACCACCUUCAACCAAAUAAAUGAAAAAACUAACCAAUUAGCCCCUAAUAACUUAGGCAUGGUAACUCCUACACCCCCCACAAUAACUUGACAACACAACAAAAAGGUACAAUAAAGUAGAAUUAAAAUAUCUAA
rnacentral:lncRNA from 1 species